rnacentral:rRNA from 1 species
CCUACGGGAGGCAGCAGUGGGGAAUAUUGGACAAUGGGCGAAGGCCUGAUCCAGCCAUGCUGCGUGAGUGAUGAAGGCCCUAGGGUUGUAAAGCUCUUUCGCCAGGGACGAUAAUGACGGUACCUGGAUAAGAAGCCCCGGCUAACUUCGUGCCAGCAGCCGCGGUAAU